rnacentral:rRNA from 1 species
CAGCCGCCACGGUAAUACGUAGGGUGCGAGCGUUAAUCGGAGUUACUGGGCGUAAAGCGUGCGCAGGCGGUUAUAUAAGACAGAUGUGAAAUCCCCGGGCUCAACCUGGGACCUGCAUUUGUGACUGUAUAGCUAGAGUACGGUAGAGGGGGAUGGAAUUCCGCGUGUAGCAGUGAAAUGCGUAGAUAUGCGGAGGAACACCGAUGGCGAAGGCAAUCCCCUGGACCUGUACUGACGCUCAUGCACGAAAGCGUGGGGAGCAAACAGGAUUAGAUACCCCGGUAGUCCCUGUCUCUUAUAC